rnacentral:rRNA from 1 species
AUUGAACGCUGGCGGCAGGCCUAACACAUGCAAGUCGAGCGGAUGAAGGGAGCUUGCUCCUGGAUUCAGCGGCGGACGGGUGAGUAAUGCCUAGGAAUCUGCCUGGUAGUGGGGGAUAACGUCCGGAAGCGGGCGCUAAUACCGCAUACGUCCUGAGGGAGAAGGUGGGGGAUCUUCGGACCUCACGCUAUCAGAUGAGCCUAGGUCGGAUUAGCUAGUUGGUGGGGUAAAGGCCUACCAAGGCGACGAUCCGUAACUGGUCUGAGAGGAUGAUCAGUCACACUGGAACUGAGACACGGUCCAGACUCCUACGGGAGGCAGCAGUGGGGAAUAUUGGACAAUGGGCGAAAGCCUGAUCCAGCCAUGCCGCGUGUGUGAAGAAGGUCUUCGGAUUGUAAAGCACUUUAAGUUGGGAGGAAGGGCAGUAAGUUAAUACCUUGCUGUUUUGACGUUACCAACAGAAUAAGCACCGGCUAACUUCGUG